rnacentral:rRNA from 1 species
ACGUAGGGUGCAAGCGUUGUCCGGAAUUAUUGGGCGUAAAGAGCGUGUAGGCGGCCCGAUUAGUCCGCUGUGAAAGUCCAGGGCUCAACCCUGGAAUGCCGGUGGAUACUGUCGGGCUAGAGUCCGGAAGGGGCGAGUGGAAUUCCUGGUGUAGCGGUGAAAUGCGCAGAUAUCAGGAGGAACACCAAUGGCGAAGGCAGCUCGCUGGGACGUGACUGACGCUGAGGCGCGAAAGCUAGGGGAGCAAACGGGA